rnacentral:rRNA from 1 species
GACGAACCGUGCGAACGUUGUUCGGAAUCACUGGGCUUAAAGGGCGCGUAGGCGGGCCAGCAAGUCAGGGGUGAAAGCCCACGGCUCAACCGUGGAAGUGCCUCUGAUACUGUUGGCCUCGAGGGAGGUAGGGGCGUGCGGAACUUCCGGUGGAGCGGUGAAAUGCGUAGAUAUCGGAAGGAACAUCGGUGGCGAAAGCGGCGCGCUGGACCUCUACUGACGCUGAGGCGCGAAAGCCAGGGGAGCAAAGCGGG